rnacentral:pre_miRNA from 1 species
UUAAUACUCCCUCCGUCCGGAAAUACUUGUCAUAUGAAUGGAUGUAUCUAGAUGUAUUUUAGUUCCAGAUACAUUCAUUUUUAUACAUUUGUGCGACAAGUAAUUCUGGACGAAGGGAGUACUGU